UUUUUUUUUUUUUUUAUAUAGAUUAAGCUUAAACUGAAGUAUAAAAUGGAGAUUUUUUAGGAGAAUUUGGCACAUGAAAACUAAUCAAUGAACAUGCAUAAACAGAUUCGUAAAAAAAUGGAUAGGACCCUAGAAGUUGAAGGCAAAAAUGCAUUAGAUAUACUCCAAAAUGAAAGAAAAAUAGCAAAGCAAAACGAUGACCUCAAAUAUUGUUAAAGCAAGCUCGUAGCCAGAAAUGAAUGAUGAGAAGCAAAAGCAAUUAGCAAGACUCUUUCGCGCAAGUGUCGCAAAGCCCAGCAUAAUUGCCGCUUCUCAGCUGCCAGCCUCGCCUGAAGUGAGCCGAUUGAGACAUGCAGUAGAAGCAUUUCCCUCCAUUGACAAUUAAACAAGGAGGAGAAU
rnacentral:misc_RNA from 1 species